rnacentral:rRNA from 1 species
AGUCUAAAGCUUUCAUUUUAGAUAAAACCUGCCCAGUGCUCAUUUAAGGAAGUAAAUGGCCGCAGUACCCUGACUGUGCUAAGGUAGCGUAAUCAGUUGGCUUUUAAAUGGAGUCGUGUAUGAAUGGAUUUAUAGGGUGAAGCUGUCUCUUUUAGGUUUAUUUGAAUUUAAUGAGAAGGUGAAAAUACCUUUGUUAAGAUAAAGGACGAUAAGACCCUAGGAGUUUCUCUAAAAAUACUCUUUGAGUUUUACGGUUUUGCUGGGGCGGCAUAGGGGCAUAAUUUAAUAAACCCUCUUUAAAAAUUAGCCGAAUUUUUUAAGUACAAAUAAACUACCCUAGGGAUAACAGCAUAAUUCUUUAGAGAGUUUGUGACCUCGAUGUUGGACUAGGAAUUAAUUAGGCUAGCCGCUUGAAUAUAUUGUUCUGUUCGAACUAUUUUUCCUACAU